rnacentral:misc_RNA from 1 species
UACGUAGGGGGCAAGCGUUAUCCGGAAUUUUUGGGCGUAAAGCGCGCGCAGGCGGUUAAUUAAGUCAGGUGUGAAAGGCUACGGCUCAACCGUAGAGUUGCAUUUGAAACUGGUUAGCUUGAGUGCAGGAGAGGUAAGUGGAAUUCCCGGUGUAGCGGUGGAAUGCGUAGAGAUCGGGAGGAACACCAGUGGCGAAGGCGGCUUACUGGCCUGCAACUGACGCUGAGGUGCGAAAGCGUGGGUAGCAAACAGG